UUUUUUCCCUUUCCCACCAUUUCAUAGAAUUUAAAUUUAAAAAUAAUUAUUUUUACACGCAACACAGAAUGUUAGUGGUUUCAUAAGCACUCUGUUCAUAAUGUGUCUGGAGAAAGAUCAGGUAAAUAGUUUAAUAUACCGAGUCCUCGGCCUGUAAGAGGAAGUAUGGAAGAAGUUUUGACAAUUAUUGGUAGACCUUAAUUGGGACAAAAUGCAGCAUAUAAUUCCAAGGAAAAGACUUCAUAUAUGCAGGGAAGUCACAUAUCCUUCAUGGAAUCCCUACGAGGAUGCACUACAACUCUAAGGAUAUAGAGGAUAAUCAUCUAAAAGACAACCACAUACAACACUCAUACACAGGACAAGCAAUAGCAGAAAUAUUUACCAGGCCUUGAGGAAUAUUGGCUUUAAUUUGUGUCAUGGAAAAAGGUGGGUUCUGAGAUCCUAGAUAAAUUCAGUUUCUAAAAUUUUGUUACAGUGAUGCAUCCAGCUCAACUCUGUUAUCAAGAAGAAAUCAUUAGAUGAGCAUGGCUAACCAUUAGCCCACACAAACAAGGGGGGAGUCCCAGAAUCACUUUAAGUGUGGUCCAAUGGUGAGCUUACCUCACCUAGUAAUUUUCCUCGCUGAGGAUCUAUCAUAAGAACCUUGAGGUUGCAUGAUCAACAGCCAUUAGCUCAAGAUCUAGACACCAAAUCAUUUAAGCUAUUCCCAUGGUAAAAUCACAGAAAAAAACAGUUCACCACAUGCAUCUACUGAGACGGUACAGAUAUAAUUCCCUGAUCAUCAACUAACAUUCCAUAUAAUUCACUAAAACAUAUUUCUCCCAUCCUAACACUUAGGCAAGCCUGACAAAUCUACAUCAUAUAGAUUCCUUCGAAGUUUCAAAACUAAUGCUGUUUGACUCAUAAAGGAGCAACGUUGGAAAUGUUAAAUCCAACCCAUGACAGAAAAGCUAUUUUUUCAUAAUUCAAUUAAGCUCCUGUUAAUAAAACAUAGUUCUUCUAAUAGUUGAUGACUAAGUGAGGCAAUACAUUAGUCUAUAAUGAUUCACUGUGCAACUAAGGUAUAGGUAACAGUAAAAAUAUAGUACAUAGUAUAAAUCAGUGAUUCGUGUAGCAGUUAGGG